GUGUCAGCAGCCGCGGUAAUACGUAGGGUGCGAGCGUUAAUCGGAAUUACUGGGCGUAAAGCGUGCGCAGGCGGUUUUGAAAGUCAGAUGUGAAAUCCCCGAGCUUAACUUGGGAAUUGCAUUGGUGACUGCACGGCUAGAGUGUGUCAGAGGGGGGUAGAAUUCCACGUGUAGCAGUGAAAUGCGUAGAGAUGUGGAGGAAUACCGAUGGCGAAGGCAGCCCCCUGGGAUAACACUGACGCUCAUGCACGAAAGCGUGGGGAGCAAACAGGAUUAGAAACCCUUGUAGUCC
rnacentral:rRNA from 1 species